GCAACCGCAAGGCUCUCCAGAUUGUGGUGCGGUCUGCCCAAUGCAUCACCGGGGGCAAACUACCUGCCCUCCAGGACACCUACCCUUUGUCACAGGAAGGCCAAAAAGAUCAUCAAGGACAACAACCACCUGAGUCAUUGCCUGUUCACCCCGCUACCAUCCAGAAGGCGAGCUUCCAUUACACAUCAGAACUGCACCAACUGAAAAAAUGAAUACUUCAACCUCAUCUGCAAACUCUUCCCAGCCUACAUAUCAAUUUGCUGCUUUCUUUUCCCAAGAUCAAUCAAUCAGCACUGCUUCCUAUGCAAUCAACUUCAUCCUGGGCCUCCCCACUAAUAUCUACAUCCUGUGGCUGAUAGCGACUGAAGUGGAAGGGAGGAUGGCCUCAGAGUUCUUCACUCUCAACCUGGCCUUGUCUGAGGUCCUCUUUUGCCUGUCAGCUAUCCUAUAUUUUAUCUGGCUACUUCACCCCACCAUCAUUAUUUUGUGCAUUUUGGUAUUUUCUAAUGACAGGCCGUCCGCUGUUCCAGUGCUGUAUCUGUGUAGAGCGCUACCUGGCAGUGGUCCACCCUGUAGUCUACCUGAAGUACAAACCCCUGAGAUACAGGGUGGGGUGUUGUCUGGCUGAUGGUGCUUGUGUCCUGUCUUUUCUUUAUGCUUGGGAAUAAAAUAACUUUUUUAUUUUAUGCUUACUUGGGUGAGUUUCUGAUGUUGUUUUUAUUGAAGCUAUUCUGCUGCCUCUCAGUUCUCAGGGCUCUGAAACGUCCCGGGCCGGGGGAAGGGGAGAGGGAG
rnacentral:lncRNA from 1 species